rnacentral:rRNA from 1 species
GACGAACGCUGGCGGCGUGCCUAAUACAUGCAAGUAGGACGCAGUUGCGAACGGGUGAGUAACGCGUAGGUAACCGCCUAUUAGAGGGGGAUAAAUCUUGGAAACGAUAGCUAUUACCGCAUACUAGUAGAUGGACCUGCGUUGUAUUCGUUAGUAGGUAGGGUAAUGGCCUACCUAGGCGACGAUACAUAGCCGACCUGGGAGGUUGAUCGGCCAAACCUGGACUGGGACACCGGCCAAGAUCCUUCGGGGUGCAGCAGGAAGGAAUCUUCGGGAAUGGGGCGAACCCUGACCCGGCAAAGCCGCGUGAGUGAAGAAAGUUUUCGGAUCGUAAAGCUCUGUUGGUAAGGAAGCGGUACUUAACCAGAAAGGGACGGCUAACUACGUGCCAGCAGCCGCGGUAAUUC